rnacentral:tRNA from 1 species
UUUCACCUUUUUUAUGGAAUUUGAAAUUCUUUAUAGGGAAACUCUCUUUUGUUUUCCAGUGAAAU